CUAGAUUACAAACGGUUUUGAAGAUGUUUGGAAUAGCUAGCUAGCGAUUCGCAAAUAAGGACCUUACUAACAAAUAUAUUUAGCUAACCCUAUUAAUCUAAAUGUCGUUUAAAAGAGAGGGCAAUGAUCAGAGUCAAUCGAAUAUCCUCAAGGCGAGCCAUUUUAUUAGUUGUUACUUACACAGAAAUCAAUUUGUACUUUAGCUUGCUAGCUACAUGCGAAACGGGCACGUUUGUCAUUUUAACAAGCUAGUUAGUUAACGUAGCUAGCUAACGUUAAUUGUUUAUUUCCCAGAAACGGCGUGUUGCAGAACUCCUGUCCAAUUUCAUUCCAGAGGAUGAGGUAGCCUUGAUGAAAAAUGAAAGGUGAAGUACCUGCUGUGCCGAAAAUCACCCCCUGAUAGAACACCUAAACAUGAUAUUGUUUAGGACCUUGAGCGUGGCUGAGGUGCACUCAUGACCAGCUCGGAAACCAGAUUGCAUAGUGAAGAAGCAGGAAGCUAUAUCAAAACCAUCCGUGAAGGCUGAAUGUGCCUACACUAAUCCUUUCUGUGCCAGGGAUGAAGUGGUUUUAUGGAAAGAAAACUCAACUGAAAAAUGAGAUAUCUUAACGAAACCAUGAAAACCAUGUUCAAGCUGAAGAUAGCCGACAGGAACCCUCUAGUUCUGCCCCCCUGUUGACACAGACAUGUAAACUCACCCACCACACCUUACUGAAGACUGUAAUAUAUUUAUUUGGCACAAAAAGACCAGUGACAUCAGCCCCUCCAGCACAAGACUAUCAUCACCACAUCAAACGUCAGUGGAGACAAUGAUAAGACAUCAUGUCAUUACCCAGUUCCAACAGUAAUACACCAGUCAAUCAGGGAUCGUGUCUAAUUGGGAGAAAUAAGGAAGUGUGUAAGAAGGAGUCAGCCAACGGCGACACAGGAGUCGGAACCUAUAUGACAGCUCAAAGGAGGAGCAUUACCUUAAAUUGAAAAGUGCGGGACGGCUGCAGGACAGGAGUGACCCGUGGGUAAAGGAUGAGAAUGUGGAAUUUGAUUCAGAUGAAGAGGAACCCUCAUCCCUCCCAUCCUCCCACUGACUCAGAGGGCUGACCAGAUGAGCAGCAGGGACCAGACCUCAACACCAGCACCUUCCCACAAUCCCUAGCCCUUUCCUCAAACCCUGCUGCUGACACAAAGGUCCCAUUUGGACAUACAUCUGUUGACUCAACAAUUAUGAAUGGCACUCUGUUGCAGUAAUGACAACACUAUAAGAGCAGCACUAGAACAUCUUGAACUGCCUCCAUGCUUCCUUUGUUUACUCUUAUCUCAGGGUAGACACAUUGGUGCUUGAGACAAUGCUUUGACUGUUGUCACCCUGCGAGGGAUGGGAAGGGGGACGAUUCUCAGCACCCUUUGUGUUAUUCCGUUCACCCAUUUUAUUUAGGUCCAACACCUCCCCUGUUAAGGCUAAGCUGUGAUCUUACCAUAAAUCAUCAGCAGAUAGGACAAUAUUACUGCUAAUCUUGGUAGUGUAACCACCGGUUAACAUUCUUCAGAAGGUUCUCAUUUGUGGCUCACCCCUAGACCACUCUAUAUAUUGGAUAACCCCCCUCCCUACAGAAAGCCAGCGUGCGGACUUAACGUGGGUUAGUUUAAAACGAUGACGUUAAAAUGUGGCAAUCUGAGUAACUGAUUAUUAUUUGUGAGCUCAUUGCGUGACUGCCACAAGGCGUUUGGAAUGUUUGUUGACUGCAUCGACACAGGAGCUCAACUGUCUUUAUGUGUCAUCAAGGCUGAUGAUGUUAUGGAGUUAAAUUGUCAAUGCAAUAAGUAAUGUUGACUCUAUCAUGUUACUUGUACUUUCAGAUGACUAAACAAAGCAAUUGUCCUCCACUGCUAACAAUGUCUGUUUGAAUAACCCAGAUACAAGGGAGUAAAAUAAAGCACCACUUAACUUAGAAC